ACGGGAAGGGUAACUAACGGGAAGGGUAACUCACGGGAAGGGUAACUAACGGGAAGGGUAACUAACGGGAAGGGUAACUAACGGGAAGGGUAACUCACAGGAAGGGUAACUAAUGGGAAGGGUAACUCACGGGAAGGGUAACUAACAGGAAGGGUAACUCACAGGAAGGGUAACUAACGGGAAGGGUAACUCACGGGAAGAGUAACUAACGGGAAGGGUAACUAACGGGAAGGGUAACUCAGGGAAGGGUAACUCACGGGAAGGGUAACUAACGGGAAGGGUAACUAACGGGAAGGGUAACUCACGGGAAGAGUAACUAACGGGAAGGGUAACUAACGGGAAGGGUAACUAACGGGAAGGGUAACUCACAGGAAGAGUAACUAACGGGAAGAGUAACUCAAGGGAAGGGUAACUCACGGUAAGGGUAACUCACAGUAAGGGUAACUCACGGGAAGGGUAACUCACGGGAAGGGUAACUCACGGGAAGGGUAACUAACGGGAAGAGUAACUAACGGGAAGAGUAACUCACAGGAAGGGUAACUCACGGUAAGGGUAACUCACGGGAAGGGUAACUAACGGGAAGGGUAACUAACGGGAAGAGUAACUAACGGGAAGGGUAACUCAUGGGAAGGGUAACUCACGGUAAGGGUAACUCACGGGAAGGGUAAUUCACGGUAAGGGUAACUCACGGUAAGGGUAACUCACGGGAAGGGUAACUCACGGGAAGGGUAACUCACGGGAAGGGUAACUAACGGGAAGGGUAACUCACGGGAAUGGUAACUCACGGGAAGGGUAACUCACGGGAAGGGUAACACACGGGAAGGGUAACUCACAGGAAGGGUAACUAACGGGAAGGGUAACUCACGGGAAGGGUAACUCACAGGAAGGGUAACUAACGGGAAGGGUAACUCACGGGAAGGGUAACUCAUGGGAAGGGUAACUAACGGGAAGAGUAACUAACGGGAAGGGUAACUCACGGAAAGGGUAACUAACGGGAAGGGUAACUCACGGGAAGGGUAACUCACAGGAAGGGUAACUAACGGGAAGGGUUACACACGGGAAGGGUAACUCACGGGAAGGGUAACUCACGGGAAGGGUAACUAACGGGAAGGGUAACUCACGGGAAGGGUAACUCACGGGAAGGGUAACUCACGGGAAGGGUACUCACGGGAAGGGUAAAUAACGGGAAGGGUAACUCACGGGAAGGGUAACUCACGGGAAGGGUAACUCACGGGAAGGGUAACACACGGGAAGGGUAACUCACGGGAAGGGUAACUCACGGGAAGGGUAACUCACGGGAAGAGUAACUAACGGGAAGGGUAACUAACGGGAAGGGUAACUCACGGGAAGGGUAACUCACGGGAAGGGUAACUCACGGGAAGGGUAACUCACGGGAAGGGUAACUCACGGGAAGGGUAACUAACGGGAAGGGUAACUCACGGGAAGGGUAACUAACGGGAAGGGUAACUCACGGGAAGGGUAACUCACGGGAAGGGUAACUCACGGGAAGGGUAACUAACGGGAAGAGUAACUAACGGGAAGGGUAACUCACGGGAAGGGUAACUCACGGUAAGGGUAACUCACGGGAAGGGUAACUCACGGCAAGGGUAACUCACGGUAAGGGUAACUCACGGGAAGGGUAACUCACGGGAAGGGUAACUCACGGGAAGGGUAACUAACGGGAAGGGUAACUCACGGGAAGGGUAACUUACGGGAAUGGUAACUCACGGGAAGGGUAACUCACGGGAAGGGUAACACACGGGAAGGGUAACUCACAGGAAGGGUAACUAACGGGAAGGGUAACUCACGGGAAGGGUAACUCACGGGAAGGGUAACUCACGGGAAGGGUAAAUCACGGAAGGGUAACUCACGGGAAGGGUAAAUCACGGGAAGGAUAAGUCACGGGAAGGGUAAAUCACAGGAAGGGUAAAUCACGGGAAGGGUAAAUCACGGGAAGGGUAACUCACGGGAAGGGUAAAUCACGGGAAGGGUAAAUCACGGGAAGGGUAGCUCACGGGAAGGGUAACUCAUGGGAAACCCAGCACUCCGAAAGCCAUGUGUCACAAAACAAACAAUACCUUCCAGUGAUGGGGUGCAAAGAACUGAACUAAAUAGUGUGUGAUAAUGACAUAUAGGUGUGUGAAACAGGUGAUUAGAAUUCAGGUGAUUGAGAUCUGGAGAGUGAGCUGCGUUCGGGGGAUCUAGGU
ensembl:lncRNA